GAAACCCUAGGGUGGCAAGUGAGUGAGGAAGUGCAGCUGGGGGACAGCACCUCAGACCCCACCGGCAAUGGCUGCAGUGCAAGGGAGCCCUGCGAGGAUUAAAAUAAGAUGAUGGAUGGAAAGCGCCCGGUACAUUAUGACUUCCUUGGGAUACUGGAGCCAUUUUGCCCCACAGUGCAGACAGCUGGCUAUCCCCAGGAGUUUACAAUGCGCUGGGUGGUCCUUUGUUCAUGAUGAACUGGAGUGAAGAAUCGGAACAGUCAACUCCCUUGCCUUGAAUCGGGAUGAACUCAGGUGUCAUUUCUACUUCAAAGCCUCCUGUGGGAUCAUGCUGAGACUAGAAUUUCCCUGGAAUUGUACCCUUGUGUGCCUUCAUUCCCUUCCCUCAUUCUUUUUUCUAUAG